rnacentral:lncRNA from 1 species
CACUCGGCCUUAUCCACACUGCAUCUGGCUGCCAUCGUUCUCCCGCAUCAGCUGCCGCACUGCAUCUCGCCGUCGACUCCGCCAACCCUAGCGCAGUCGCCGACUCACCCCCUCCUUGCCGCCCCGCCCCGCCCGGCGCCAUCCCCUCCAUCACGCAGCCAGCCUCCUGCAACCCCCGCCUCGACCCAGCACCGCCGCCUCUGAAUCCCAUACUCACGCUGCCACCAAAUCCCCAUCGACAACUCCCCACACCCACACCUCCGACGCACGCCGCCGUCCAUUCGCAUCCACGUCGCACCCGCAUCCCCGCCCAGAGCCACCGCCGCAUUCGGUCAAAAUCGGGCAGCACGGCAGCCGGCAGCCAGAUCCACCAUGAUGCAUCCAGAUCCACCGUGCCCAAGUCAUGGAGCUUGUCCACAAGGUCGCUCCCCUCUUCUCCUCCCCAUGCCUCCCCCCUCUCUCUCUUUCUGAUUCGAUGCAAUUCGAGUUCGCACACAUGGUUCCUGUCUUCGUCAAGUUCGUGCAGGACCAUCAUGGUUUCAUACCCUUCAGGUUCGACCAGAUCCACGUUGCCCAGGGGGACCUGACGGAGAAGGGGGAGAAGGACCAUCGGGAGGUCUUCAUGGCACGUUUCAUGUUUCAGAUCCUUGCCCACAACCGGCGCUGCUCCGACCCUAGUAUAUGGGACAAGGUCCGCCCCCUCUCUCGAUUUGCUCUCCUUUCCUUUCUUCAUUUCCUUCGAUUGGAUUCACGGAUGGGUUCGUCACAGGAGGAUCCCUGACCUAUUCAACAAGCUCAAGGAGGAGAAGGAGCCCUGCCUACUUAAUGGCGCGCUUCAUCAAAACCACGACCAAGCCAGCCCUCAAGCAAAGGUACAAUUUCAUACCCACCAAAUCUCAACCUGUACUGUAUUUUUUGUUUCUUCAUCAUCCAGCCGCGGGUCUUGCAAUUGUACUGAUAUAUAUGUGUGGUUAGACUAAAACUGAAGCAUCCUUCCUUUUUGGAUCUUCAAUUCUGCUAUGAAUGAAUAUGCAGCAGCAACCCAUCUAAGAAAAAACGACACAUAUCCAUGCAGAUUACUAGCACCAAGUGGAGUGCACAUUCCAGUAAAAUCUUAUCAGUUAAUGUUCUUGACAAACUUCUAUAGUCCUGAAAACAGUGGAAUACAGUAUUUUGUUGAGAAAAAAGUGCUAUCUUGUUUUUCUGUAGAGGGAUUUCACUCUUUGCUAUGUGACAGAUUGACAGUUGUGCUUGCUAUCUCCAAUGUUGACCUGGAAACUGCAGAAUCAUAUGUGCGCAUUGUGUAAAAAGCUGAGAUUGUGAUUGAUAUGCAGGUUAGAUAAUAAGGUAUAAGACUCUUAUACGCUGAUGUAUAAGGUUGCAAUGAAUGUCCUUUUGGGGUCUUUCAUAGCAGAAAGUUAUAAUUUUCUGAUACAUUGUUAUAUAAGGCUCUAGACACUGCAUAAUCUUUUGAUUUUAGUUUGAAUACCUUGUAAUUUGUUUUUAUCGUUGCAUGUUAUCGUUUGACUCUAUUUCGAACACCUCAAAGAUUGCUUUGGCUAGUACUUAUGAUUUCAAAGCCUUAUUUAGUUUUAUAAAAAAUAUUGAUUUGUGUUGGCUUGUGAUAUUUAGGCAAGGAUUGAAACUUAGUAGUACAAACAAACGUGAUGCAGUGACACGACAUGAUAGGUAGUUCUAAUACUAUGCAUGCAGAUCGAGGUUGUUCGUAAAGUUAUGCAGAAGCAACCAUGACAGCCGGUAGCAGUCCUCGCAUCUAGAAGGUAUCACAUCUUCUUAGAAUUCUUGAAUAUUACACUAAUGAAAAGAUAUUUAUGUUUCCAUUAUUAUAUAGACAAGGUGUAUAAUGAACUAGCUCUUGCAAAAAUUAGACCUUACCAUGGAUCCCUUUAUACCGAUUUGGAAUUACAAAUUUAGUUCUGAUCACAAGGGCCAUUCUGUUGAAAAGCAAUCAUAGCUUGCCAUCUUGUCUGAAAAGCAAUCAUAGCAUGCCAUUCUAUAUAAACGCUCUAGGGCUGAAGUAGCAAGCACCGACACUCUGGGAGCUAGCAAGAUAUUUUCUCCUCUCACAUGCCGAAGACUAAUUAUUUUCUGAGUCGAGCAUGUGUUUGAAAGUAGGAACCUACAAGUUUCUUAUUUUCACCUGAGCAACUAGUGCUUUUUUUGUUUUCCUGGUAGAUUAAAAUUGUGCCUACUUUCAAACACAUGCUUAAGUCCUUUUAUUCUGAAUCAACCAGCAGCUCUGUUUCUUAAACAAUUCUGCAGCUACCACUGAAACUUUGCACACAAUCUGGACAAACAUCAUGGAUUAAUAAGAGGGACCACACAACUAUAUGUUCAGCAAACCGACAUUAUUUUAUUUUGAGCAUCCAAUAUUCAUUCCAGCAAAUGAUUUAUGUGCCUGCAAACUCUUCUUUUUGUUGAAUCAACAUUUUUAUCAAAAACCAUGCAGCAGAUUUAAUCAGAGGGCUGUUCGUUGGUAUACAUUCUCAUAAUUAUUGAUUCUCACUGUCUAGCACUAGUACACACUACACCCAGAACAAACAUGUACAAAAAAAAAACAGAACUGAGGACACCCUGCAUUGCCACUGGAUUGAUAGUAAUUAAUCCUUACCUGCAGUUUUUGAAUGUUCUAUUAACUUCGCAGCAAUCAAAAUAAAUUAAUAUACCAAAAGAAGGUGACUAUUGGUAAAUAUUUAUAUUGACAGGUUAAAUUGGUCUUUCUUAUGAGUGCAUACACAUUCUGUUUGUGCCUUGUUGACUGCGAAAGUACAGGGUAACACACAUGUGUCUUUUUCAUUUGGAUGAGUUGAUUUUCUUUUUCAGCCAUGCAACUUCUAUGUUUGGAACAUGUGUUCUUCCGAGCUGAUCUAUUUUGCCAUUUCCUUUUUUUACAGGUCACCAAUAUAAUGCCUUUGCAUCCACAAGUUUCUAGAGGUGUGUUUGGUCAGCUAAAAAGGAUCUUCUGCUGGAAUAUGUUUCUACCUAAAACGGAAUCUUAUAUUUUGCACUUUUGUCUUUUAUGUAAUGCUUUGACUUAUGAACCUACAAAUUUAUGCAUGUGUACAUGUAGACCUGAUGGAUGUCCUGUUACUGGACUUGUAUGCUUAUGUGUGCACGUAAGCACGCAAGAUGGAUCUUUGUGCUUUUGGCUGUCUUAGACUUGUGUAUACACACACACACACAUUAUCUAUUAAGUGAUGCAAUCUUAAUUACUGGAUGCAUGUGUGUUGUUAUAUAUAGAUGACACAAAAUAGAGUGAAGAUAAAUGCUAGCUGUUGAAAUACAUGUAUACAAUAUAUAGGAGAUCUGUUUGUUGGCAGUGGAUACAAAUAGAGGCAGUUUACCUGCUGGGGAACUCUUG